rnacentral:rRNA from 1 species
UCGGAUGCCGAUUGGGCCGGCUGCCCCGAGACCCGUCGCUCUACUUCUGGAUUUUGUGUGUAUUUAGGUGAUAAUCUAAUCUCUUGGUCUUCCAAAAGGCAACACACUGUUUCCAGGUCGUCAGCAGAAGCGGAGUAUAGAGCUGUGGCACACGCUGUUGCUGAGUCUCUGUGGCUCCGCCAAUUAUUGUUGGCACUCCAACGUCCAAUAUCCAAGGCCACCAUUGUUUUCUGCGACAAUAUCUCUGCAGUGUACAUGUCAGCGAAUCCAGUUCAGCAUCGCCGCACCAAGCACAUUGAGAUCGAUCUCCACUUUGUCCGUGAGAAGGUGCAGCUGGGCGAAGUCAAAGUACUGCAUGUUCCUACUCAAUCUCAAUAUGUUGACAUUUUCACCAAAGGACUACCAACAACGAUUUUCAGUGAAUUUCGCUCCAGUCUUACCAUCGUCGACAUCGAUGCUGCGACUGCGGGGGGAUGCUAA